rnacentral:rRNA from 1 species
CCUACGGGAGGCAGCAGUAAGGAAUAUUGGACAAUGCCCGCAAGGGUGAUCCAGCCAUGCCGCGUGCAGGAAGAAGGCCCUAUGGGUCGUAAACUGCUUUUACACCGGAGAAAACCUCCCUUCGUGAAGGGAGCUGAUAGUAUGGUGAGAAUAAGCAUCGGCUAACUUCGUGCCAGCAGCCGCGGUAAGACGAAGGAUGCAAGCGUUAUCCGGAUUCAUUGGGUUUAAAGGGAGCGUAGGUGGACUGAUAAGUCAGUGGUGAAAUCUUCGAGCUUAACUCGGAAAUUGCCAUUGAUACUGUUAGUCUUGAGUACAGUUGCUGUGGGCGGAAUAUGACAUGUAGUGGUGAAAUACAUAGAGAUGUCAUAGAACACCGAUUGCGAAGGCAGCUCACAAAGCUGUAACUGACACUGAGGCUCGAAAGUGCGGGGAUCAAACAGGAUUAGAUACCCUGGUAGUCCGCACUGUAAACGAUGAUUACUCGCUGCUAGAGGGCAACUUUUAGUGGCUUAGCGAAAGCGAUAAGUAAUCCACCUGGGGAGUACGCCGGCAACGGUUGAAACUUAAGGAAUUGACGGCGNGAGAGNGCGAGGACGACACGAGGGAGAGG